UUGUUAACACACAAUCUUAUCGUCUCUUCCUCAAAUAUUUGUCGGUGACUUUUCCUUUGCACUCUACGGCGUCGAAGAUAUUGUCUUCGCCGAUCGACCUCCCCACUAUCAAGAUCAAUAACUGUACCAUUCAACACAAUACCCUCUUCAACUUCUUCCCUUUCCCCAACCUAGCUAUAUAUACGGUGAGAUUCAAGACCAAAGUUCCUCACAUCGUUAUCCCCAAAAGCACCAGCGUGAUUAAACUCCAAGGCUAAAGCACGACUAUGAUAUCAGAUCAACCAUUGGGAUGAAGUUGUUGUCACAAACGACCUUCAGAUGGAUGAGGAUGAGGAUGAGGAUGAUAAUGAGGAAGAUGACCAAGAAGUAUAUCACCGAAAUAGAGCAAAUAAAAACGUCAUCAGCUGGGAUGUUGGGUUAGUGUACGCGGAACCAUGAAGUUGCGACUUGACUGAAGAAGACUGGACUAUGCAUGACUUCUUGGCCUAAUCAUCCUACUAUGAUCUAGAUAUUCCUUGGAAACAACAGUGUUUGCGAUGUAGAAAACCUUGAGCUUCCUAGGCUGGUUUAUCUUCUUGUGAGACCUGGAUUUGACUAUCAUAAGAAGGCUGGCGCCAUGAAGUCGUUGAUACGAGUCUCGGGGUUUCUAUCAAUUGUGCCUUAUCUUUUGAAUGUCGACUGUGAUCACUACAUCUACAAUACCAAAAUUCUAAGAGAAGAAAUGUGUUUCGUGUUGGCUUCUAAGUUGGGAAAGAAGAUUUGUUAUGAUCACUACCCUCAAAGAUUCGAUGGGAUCGGUAGACACGGCAGAUACAGUAAUGGCAGCGUUGUGUUUUACGAUGUAAGUACACAAAACUUCGAUCACCAGAUUCACCACCUUCCUUAUCUUGAGUCAUAACCUAAGUCUUAGUAAUCUUAAUUGCUUCCUUAUCUUGAGUCAUAACCUAUGUUUUAGUAAUCUUAAUUGCACUCCCACUGCGGCACUGUUUUUUUUUGCUACCAUUAGCUUCAUUGAAAGCAAAAAAGAACUAUAGCAUCGGUGUUGGAGCUUCGCACGAGCCACUGAAGUGAUUUUUUUUAACGAGGUAUUAUAAAGACCCAAAUAUGUUUUUACCGGCCAGCUUACCUUAAUUACUAAUAUACUAUUUGAAGCACUUGAAAGUUGAGCCUACAGAUCCAAAACAAGGCUUUCUUGAUUUUUGUUAUCCCCCACGACAAAGAGACAUUUCUUACGCUCGGGCUUGCAUCUCUUGAAAAAGUGUUUCUGAACAUCGCUAGACGGGCUAAACUAGAAAGUGCAACCGCUGCAAGAACCAUGGUCACCCUCGAUUUAGAAUCUGGCAUCUCACUUAAAGGGAAAUCUAAUAGCAGAUAUAAAUAUAAAAUGCAACAAAGAUGAGGAAUUCCACUAAAUUAUAUGAUCAUUGUAGAUAUAUAUAUGGAUACCAAUGGGAGCCAGAUUUGGUGGGAUCCUUGAAACCAAACGCAGAAAAUUCAAUUGGAGUAAUGGUUAAAGUUUACUGGCAACAAGAUGGGUCGGGGUAGAUGGCAAUAGUCCACAUCUUUUUUUUUGGUAGAAAUGUUAAAUAUUAUAGUUCACAUUUUCACAUUGAUUUUUGUGAUUGUUCAAUGUGACAAAAAUAUCGCAAUGUAUAUGCAUGUUACAGACACAAGUUCGUGACUGACUUUUUAUGAUAGGUUUUGUCUUUCUCAACAGUUA